rnacentral:rRNA from 1 species
UACGGAGGGAGCUAGCGUUGUUCGGAAUUACUGGGCGUAAAGCGCACGUAGGCGGACCGACAAGUCGGGGGUGAAAUCCCGGGGCUCAACCCCGGAACUGCCUCCGAAACUGUCGGUCUGGAGGUCGAGAGAGGCGAGUGGAAUUCCGAGUGUAGAGGUGAAAUUCGUAGAUAUUCGGAGGAACACCAGUGGCGAAGGCGGCUCGCUGGCUCGAUACUGACGCUGAGGUGCGAAAGCGUGGGGAGCAAACAGG